ACAGGUGUAAUACUACAGGUGUAAUACUCAGUAGUCUAUACUAAUAACAACAUACAGGUGUAAUACUCAGUAGUCUCUACUAAUAACAACAUACAGGUGUAAUACUCAGUAGUCUAUACUAAUAACAACAUACAGGUGUAAUACUCAGUAGUCUCUACUAAUAACAACAUACAGGUGUAAUACUCAGUAGUCUAUACUAAUAACAACAUACAGGUGUAUUAAUACAGGUGUAAUACUACAGGUGUAAUACUACAGGUGUAAUACUCAGUAGUCUCUACUCAUAACAACAUACAGGUGUAAUACUCAGUAGUCUCUACUCAUAACAACAUACAGGUGUAUUAAUACAGGUGUAAUACUCAGUAGUCUAUACUAAUAACAACAUACAGGUGUAAUACUCAGUAGUCUCUACUCAUAACAACAUACAGGUGUAAUACUACAGGUGUAAUACUCAGUAGUCUAUACUAAUAACAACAUACAGGUGUAUUUCUCAGUAGUCUAUACUAAUAACAACAUACAGGUGUAAUACUCCGCACUCUGUCUGUUUACUUUACUUGACUUUGUUUACAGAUGUUUAGCCAAAUUAAGUCUCUGAGUCAAUUGGAGGUGUACCUGUGGAUGUAUUUUAAGACCUACCUUCAAACUCAGUGACUCUUUGCUUGACAUCAUGGGAAAAUCGAAGAAAUCAGCCAAGACCUCGACAAGUCUGGUUUCUUCUUUGGGAGCAAUAUCCAAACAAGGUACCACGUUCAUCUAUACAAACAAUAGUACGCAAGUAUAAACACCAUGGGACUACACAGCCGUCAUACCACUCAGGAAGGAGACGCGUUCUGUCUCCUAGAGAUGAACGUACUUUGGUGUGAAAAGUGCAAAUCAAUGCCAGAACAACAGCAAAGGACCUUGUGAAGAUGCUGGAGGAAACAGGUACAAAAUUAUCUAUAUCCACAGUAAAAUGAGUCAUAUAUCGACAUAACCUGAAAAGCCGCUCAACAAGGAAGAAGCCACUGCUCCAAAACCGCCAUAAAAAAGCCAGACUACGGUUUGCAACUGCACAUGGGGACAAAGAUCGUACUUUUUGGAGAAAUGUCCUCUGGUCUGAUUAAACAAAAAUAGAACCGUUUGGCCAUAAUGACCAUCGUUAUGUUUGGAGGAAAAAGGGGGAGGCUUGCAAGCCAAAGAACACCAUCCCAACCGUGAAGCACGGGGGUGGCAACAUUACGUUGUGGGGGUGCUUUGCUGCAGGAGGGAAUGGUGCACUUCACAAAAUAGAUGGCAUCAUGAGGCAGGAAAAUGUUGUGGAUAUAUUGAAGCAACAUCUCAAGACAUCAGACAGGAAGUUAAAGCUUGGUCACAAAUGGGUCUUCCAAAUGGACAAUGACCCCAAGCAUACUUCCAAAGUUGUGGCAAAAUGGCGUAAGGACAUCAAAGUCAAGGUUAUGUAGUGGCCAUCACAAAGCCCUGACCUCAAUCCUGUAGAUCAUUUGUGGGCAGAACUGAAAAAGUGUGUGCGAGCAAGGAGGCCCACAAACCUGAUUCAGUUACACCAGCUCUGUCAGGAGGAUUUGGCUAAAAUUCACCCAAUUUAUUGUGGGAAGCUUGUGGAAGGCUACCUGAAACGUUUGACCCAAGUUAAACAAUUUAAAGGCAAUGCUACCAAAUACUAUUUGAGUGUAUGUAAACUUCUGACCCACUGGGAAUGUGAAUAAAGAAAUAAAAGCUGAAAUAAAUCAUUCUCUCUGCUAUUAUUCUGACAUUUCACAUUCUUAAAAUAAAGUGGUGAUCCUAACUGACCUAAGACAGGGGAUUUUUACUGGGAUUAAAUGUCAGGAAUUGUGAAAAAAUGAGUUUAAAUGUAUUUGGCGAAAGGUGUAUGUAAACUUCCCACUUCAACUUUACUGUAUCCCCGGUACGUCUUAGUGACUUAGUACAAUAAGGGGUGUGGUUGCUGGAUGUUAGUGGGCGUGGUUUGUCCUGUAAGUGUGUUUCCAUAGUUACUGAGGCGUGUCCUCAGAGUGAUUGUUUGUUUAUUUGUU